UACGGAGGGUGCAAACGUUAAUCGGAAUUACUGGGCGUAAAGCGCACGUAGGCGGCUCGUUAAGUGGGGUGUGAAAGCCCUGGGCUCAACCUGGGAAUUGCAUUCCAAACUGACGGGCUAGAGGGUGGUAGAGGGGGGUAGAAUUCCCUGUGUAGCGGUGAAAUGCGUAGAUAUAGGGAGGAAUACCUGUGGCGAAGGCGGGCCCCUGGACCAACACUGACGCUGAGGUGCGACAGCGUGGGGAGCAAACAGG
rnacentral:rRNA from 1 species